rnacentral:rRNA from 1 species
AUGCGUCUGAAUUCAUCUGAGUUUCUAAAUAGUCUAACAUUUUCUGGAAUACCAGAUCAUGAACUGAGGCUGAAAGUAGGAUUACCAGUAAUGCUUACGACUAUGAAUAACUUCAAUCAAAGUGCAGGACUUUGCAAUGGGACAAGACUAACAAUAACACAGCUAGAGAAGCGUUUCAUCGAAGGCCAGGUCAUAACAGGUACUAACAUUGGCGACAAAGUUUACAUCCCACGAAUUAUUAUGUCACCAAGUGAUUCAGAAUGGCCUUUCAUUGUGAAAAGGAGACAAUACCCAAUAUCAGUGUGCUUUGCUAUGACUAUAAACAAAAGUCAGGGGCAAUCUCUCAAAAAGUUUUGA